CUAGGCAAUCCAUCUGAUGCUCAGUAGGUUUGGGCCUGGCCAGUACUUGGAUAGAAACCCACUAGGAAAGCCAGGUUGUUGCUUGGU
rnacentral:rRNA from 1 species